GGUGGCUCAGUAGUAGAGUGCUUGCCUUGCAUGCAUGAUACCCUGGGUUUGAUUCCUCAGCACCA
rfam:Dipodomys ordii contig_42259, whole genome shotgun sequence.